GGUUGUGACUCAGUGGUAGAGCACUUGCCUAGCAUGCAUGAGGGACUGGGUUCGAUCCCCAGCACCACCU
rnacentral:tRNA from 1 species